AAUAUAGAAGUUGAAAUUUUUGUGGGCGCAGUUAGAUCAACACUGCAAGGAUUCAUGCUGAAAGGAUUGAUCGAUAGAGCUUAUUAUGAAAAAAGGCUGCUAGAGAAUCAUCAAGUUUAUAACAACACAGCAGCCCUACGCAAAUUUAUGACUGCAUUAUGUGAAUAUAAAUUAUAAAAUAUACCAAUAACCAAAAUAUAGAACGUAUCCAUUUAGAUAUUAACUAUAAAGACAGGAACGUUUUAAAUGUCGAUGCACGCAACAAAAUUAUUUUGUCGUAAAAAAUAUGAAAGUGUUAUGUAGAACUUAAGGCCUUGUAACUAACCUAAAUAAUUUCUCAAAACUUUUCAUUAGUCUAAAUAAAAUUUCUGGCAAUACGGGUGGUAGGUAAUGUGAGGAAAUGCUAGGCAAUACGGAGAAGGAAUGAGGAAGGAGGCUGAUGUAAUUUUGUAUGCGUAUUUUGCUUCUCUACGAUUUUACCGCCUGUUGCGGGGAUAUGCUACGCUAUGCGCGAAGCUGCUAGGCAACGCGGAGCAGGAAUGUAGAAGCAGGCUGAUGCAAUUUUUUAUGCAUAUUUUGCUCCUCUAUGUUUUUACCAUCGGCUCAUUACUCAAUUUCUUUUAGAAUUUGUUACUUCGCAAUCUUUAUUUAAGUUGAAUUGUGAGGGGGGGGGGGAAGAGUUACAACCUAAGAGGCCUAAUAAAAAACGGAUAUUUUUUUAGCACCGUAAUGUUAAAAAAUUUCUAGUCUAUAAUAAAAUAUAUGUAGGCAUAGAACUUUGUAAAUAUAAAACAUACUAAUUCUACAAAUAUUGAAUCUAUUAUACAAUAAAGUGUUUGCAUCACAAUCAUGCAUUGUAAAUUUAAUUAAUCACGAUAAUGUAUAACAUUUAUUCAACAGUUUUCAAAAAAAAUGUUUUGCGAGAAGGGUUUUAUAGAGCAACCUCUUAACAUCGCGCAGCAGUAAUCCUGGCGGUCCAGUGUGUGUUCGGGUUGUCAGGGUGUGAAUUGCGGGCUUAUCGGGAUAAGAACAAUUUUUAUUAACUGACCUCAAAGCACACACAAACAUUCGUUAUAGUUAUUUUCUGGAAAGAUGCUCAUGAUGAUCACACAGUGAAGAUUACAAUUUUGAUUUGGCCUUGCCUUCAAUAACUCUUUGGCAAAGAAGUGAAUUGAAUAUUCACCAAAGAAUAGUUGAAGAAAAGUGGAAACCAAAGGUGUAAUGUUCGCCGUGUGAUCAACAUGAUCGCAUUUCUAGAAAAUAUCUAUAACGAAUGUUUGUGUGUGUUUUGAGGUCAAUUAAAAAAAAUUGUUCUUAUCCCGAUAAGCCCGCAAUUCACACCCUGACAACCAGAACACACACUGGACCGCCGGGAUUACUGCUGCGCGAUGUUAAGAGGUUGCUCUAUAAAACCCUGCUCGCAAAACAUUUUUUUGAAAAACUGUUGAAUAAAUGUUAAACAUUAUCGUGAUUAAUUAAAUUUACAAUGCAUGAUUGUGCUGCAAACACUUUAUUGUAUAAUAGAUUAAAUAUUUCUAGGAUUAGUAUUUUAUAUUUACAGAGUUCAUUCGUUAUCCCCAAAACAAAAUGAUAUUUUCACCGGGUUAUUCUCCAAAGCACCAUUUUGUAGGAAAAGAAAUAGAAGAUAUAUCAGUAGAUUCAUGCAAGGGGCAAUUCCAAUAUCUUUCUUUAAUGCUUAGCUACAACCAACAGUAUAAAUAAUCGAGCCAUGGGAAUUUGAACAGGGAAAAAAAUUGUUGACAAAUUCAACAUCUGCACGAAAAAUAGAAGAGUCGAUAAUCAGAGCAAAGAAGUUGAAUAAUAAACUGCAGACUAAAGCAGGAUAUGGAAACCAAUCAAAUAGCAUAGAAAUAAUGCAGCCGGAAACAAACUACUUUGGAAUGUAAAGUAUAGACAAAAUUCAAGAGCAAGGCAUAAGAGCUGCAGAUAAAUUUCAAGAAAGUAAAUGGACUAACAUGCAGGGGCAUUCAAGAGGAAAGUGUGCUAGAAAUAAAACGCGUAAUUAAAAUCUACACCUCUUGGAGCCACCAAUAAUCAGAAUUUGUGAUAAAUACCAAGACUCGAAUGAGCAGCAGCAGACAGGCUGGGACCCUGCAAACAAAAAAAGCUGGAAAUUUAAACAGAUAAUCAAUGUUUGCAAUCUUUGAAAUACAAUUCUGCAUUGGAAAUUUUAAGCUUUCAAGUCUUAACCUUGUAAUAUUUGAAUUCUGAAUUCUAAAAUGGUGUCGAUGCAAAACAAUAUCCAAAACCCCAAAUACAGAAUUCACAAUUUUAAACUCUAAUUUCUCCAUAUGCAAUUUUAACCUUUAAGAAUGCAGAAUUCCAAAUUCUGGGACAUCACCGUCGCAACUUAGAUUGCUGAAUUUGAAUCUUUCAUAUGCACCAAAUACCCUAAUGCAAAUCAGGCCAUAAUUUCCAAAUUCAAUCUUCUAUACGGACCAAGCACUUUAGUGUGAUUCUGAAUUAUACUUUUUAAUUUAUGAAAUUAGAAUUCAGCUAGAGAAUUUAGAAUUCAGCUAGAGAAUUGAGAAUCCAAGUAGGCAAUCCGGAAUUCUGCGAAGAAUAGAAAGGAAACAAAAAAUUCUUUGCUCAGAUUCUCCAUGAAAUCGAACAUCAUUAGUCUGACGUUGAAGCCUCAUUAGUUAUUAUGGUUGGUUGCAUAAGUAACUGCAAGUAUUCCAGCACAAAUAAGAGGAACUGGUUGCCUAUAGAAUAGGCCAUCCAAAGUAUCCCAUCAACAGCGGAGGAGGGUUGCGCCCCUCUCAAUUAGCGCAUUAUUUGAUAUUCAAGGAGGGGAUCAUCAUAACAUGGGAAUUCAGAAUUAAACUUUGCAAUUUGCAAUUCUAUGGAGAAUAUAAGGAAAAUAAAGAUCCUUUGUCCAGAGUUUGUAUUCUGCAUUCAGACUCCAGAUUUCAGAACCUGGAAAGCAAACUCAUAUAUAUUGUUUCAUAUAAACAGGAAGCUGGUGCAAAAUUAAGAAGCCCUUUUUCUUUACCUACUCUUAUUCUGAUAGUACAAUUCAGAUUCUAGAGACUUGAAUUAGGAACACAGGCCCCUGCUAGGCAAUUGGAAAUUCAGCUGGCCAAUACAGAGAAGGUAGUUCUAUGGAAUUCUCAGCCAGCAGAAUUCAGCAAGAUAAUUUAGGAUUCAGUAAGCCAACUCAGACUCCAAAUACAUGCAGCAUACAGUCAAGGAAAAAGACCGGUACUUCGCAUGUUAUAAAAUCUCAGCAAGAUAAUUUAGAAUUCAAUUAGACAACUUAGAUUCGAAAUAAAUGCAGCAAACAGUGUGGGUGAAAGAGCGGAACUUUACACGUUAUACAAUUUCGAGUAAGAAUUAAAGUGCAAUGCUGACAGCCGAAAGAAAAGCAUGGCAAUUCUCAGAGAAAAAUGUAUGUUAACUUGAAGAAUUCAGCAAGAUAAUUUAGGAUUCAGUUUGCCAACUUAGACUCCAAAUACAUGUACCAUACAGUCAGGGUAAAGAAUUCAAUUAGACAACUUAGAUUCCAAAUAAAUGCAGCACACAGUGAGGGGAAAGAUCGAAACUUCACAUGUUAUACAAUUUCGAGUAUGAAUUAUACUGCAAUGCUGACAGUCGAAAGAAAAACAUGAAAAUUCUCAGAGGGAAAUGUAUGUUAACUGGCAAGAAAACCCGCAUACAUACUGAAAGCAUUUUGAGCACAAAUCAAAGUGGUUGGUCGCCUAUAGAAUAGGCCAUCAAAAAAUACCACCAUUGCUUACCAAGAAGGUAGAAUCUUUUCUCAAGCUUGUGAAUCUACAAUUCACCUAUGCAAUCCCAAAUCGCAUGAAGAAUAUAAGGGAAACAAACAUACAUUAUGUACAAUGCAUAUUCAGUGUCCAGGGUAACCGCCUGUAGAAUUUAGCAUGGAAAGCCAUGCGCACUGUUCCUCAUAAAAGGCUGUUGAUUCAGGAACCGGAAUUCAUUCACCUAGAUAAGCAGGAAUUCAGCUAGGAACUUCAGAAUUCCAUGAAGAAUAUAGGGAAAUUAACUACACUGGUCUAGCCGAAUUCUAGAUUACCUACUUGAAUUCUGAAACUGGAAUUUAGGAUUUAGAAUCCUGUUUUGUACUGAGAGGUCUCAACUGCAUCUUGCGUUUAAACCGCGGCAUGUACUUUUCAUUAUACUCAUAUUUCCUUGGGAGUUAUUGAGAUAUACCAUGUAUCUUUAGUCUAAAAUAUGCCACGAAUUCUAAAACAUGUGAACUGAAAGAUGGUUCAAAAGAGGCAGCAUAGAAGAACUGCAAGAAAAAGAAAGGAAUAUAGGACAUAAACCAUUGGAGAAGCUGGUUAUCAUUACGAAUUCAAGCCUUUAACACACAGGAAAUAUCUGGAUGUAAAACAAAUCAAAAUUCUGAAUUCUAAACUUUUAGAUGCACCAAAUACCAUGUUUUUCUUUAAGGCCAGUUUUCGAUUGAAUAUAAAGACAGCUAAUGCACUGAGGGGAAAGGGCCAGGCAGCGGUUGCACACGGAAGGUGGCUGCGAAACAACAACAUCAUUUAGCUUGUACUACUCCUAAUUGCGAAAAGAGUGCAAGAAACAUUAGGAAGUACAAAGAGGCUAGAGCUAAAGAAAAAUGCAAAAAAUAACUGUAAAAAUUUAAAUUAAAGCAGGCAAAGAGGAGUGAAACGGGACUGAGCUAAAAGGACUAUAUAAUGAUGCCAACAUAUGUGAGACAAACAGGGGAACAAAGUAAUCACCGGUCCAUUAUGUUCAGAUCACCUAGUGUAGUUCGCGGGGGAUGCAAAAGCUAAGAACUAAACACAAUAAAUUAGAAGUAACGACAAACAUGUUAGAAAGCUUUCGAGGGCAAAAAAUGCAGGGAACUUAGCUGAGUCGACCCUACCAAGGACUGACCAGAUAUUAAGAACAAACUGCACAACAGGGUAUAUGGCAAGUAUAAAUUCGAAUAUUACGAACAAACUGCGGCAAUUUUUUGUAGGAUACUUGCAAAUGAAGCACAAAACUAAGAGAUUUCCUUUAGUUAAGUUAAACACAGAAUAAACAAAUAGAAUGAAACAUCAAGGUAUUAUUACAGAAAUGCAAAGAAAGCAUUGCCAACUAAUUUUGGUCAUAGUUAUUGCAAAUCCGGAAAAAAUUUCCUCCUCAAUAUACUUCCGAAGCAUGAGUGCGACCACUAAACAUGAAAUGAGUGCAAAACCGUAUUUACAUACACCCGCAUUAUUUACCCUGUACAAUUCCUAACAUGAAUCAAACACAGUAAACCGACGAAAAACAAAAGAACUAUGGUACUCAUGAUGUACAACCGAAGAAUACGAAUAAGAAAGUAAAAGAUGCAGGCUGGUCUGGAGAAUACUUGCAAAUUAAGCAUAAAGAGCAGCGGCAAAAAGAAAUGGAUAAUUAGUGAUUCCAAAAGAUUUUGAAAAAGUCGGCUGAGCUCAGAUAGUUAGAACAUCUUCAGUCUGUUCAUCACACAGUCAAUAGACUUUUCUUUUCUUUUAGCUAACAAUCGUCGCAAGUUUUGCUCUAAGGCCAUCAAGCUUGUGUUUUUUAAAAUUCCGGAGUGUCAUAUAUGUGAUGCACAUUUUUUAGCCAACAAUCGUUGCAAGUGUUGCCCGAAGGCCAUCAAGCUUGCCCAUUUUUUAAUUCCGUAUCACCAUAGGCCUGGGCUUUCUUUAAUUCCGUAUAACAAUUGCCAAAGAAACAAUUUUGCAUCAUCACAUAUCACAUAUUGGAUAUAAUUUUUUUAACCAACAAUUGUCGCAAGUGUUGGCCCAAGCCCAUCAAGCUUAGCCUUUUGUCAAUUCUGUAUCAUCAUUGCUCAGCAAAUCAUUUGAGGUCACAAAGAAUCCACUUUUUUUUAAUGCAGCUGCUUUCACAAUAUUUUAAUUAACAUUCGCCGAACUUGAGUGCUUAUUGAGUUUUGCUAAUAAGGUGAACUAAUUUAUCUGAAGUCCAGCAACCAAAACAAACAUAACUAAGGCAGCAAGAUUUCACAUCAUUAUUUUGCACUUCCACUCAACUAAGGUUCCCGACUUUCACCUUCACUUAAGAAUAAUUUCUCAAAAGGAAAAAGAGAAAACACAUGUCGACAAUUUAGGGAAAAGAGAAAACACAUGUCGACAAUUUUUCAAAAGGAAAAAGAGAAAACACAUGUCAACUAAUUUAUCUUAGUUUUUAAUAUUAAGAGGACAACAAAAUAUAUAUAUUUCCCUCAUCCUAACCUUUUUUUUUCCUCACGGAAAAAACUGCUGCAGUUCAAAUCAUAAGCCGAAUUUAGAACCAAGCUACACGAAACAAAUAAGUAACAUUUUAUGCCCAUCAAAUACCUUCAUUUAAUUCAGAUCAGUAUCCUCCUAUAAUUCAUCCAGGCAACCACAGCUAAGUAAUGUAGAAUUCAGCUAGAGAAUUGAGAAUUCAAGUAGGCAAUCUGGAAUUCCACGAAGAAUAGAAAGGCAACAAAUAUUCUUUGCUCAGAUUCUCCACGAAAUCGAACAUCAUCAGUUUGAAACUGAAGUCUCAUUAGUUAGUAGUGCUAGUUGCAUAAGGCACAAAUAAGAAGAACUGGUUGCCUAUAGAAUAGGCCAUCGAAAGUACCCCAUCAGCAAGGAAGGAGGGUUGCGCCCCUCUCGAUUACCGCAAUUAUUUGAUAUUCAAGGAGAAGAUCAGCAUAGCAUGGGAAUUCAGGAUUAAGCUAUGCAAUUUGGAAUUCUAUGAAGAAUAUAAGGAAAAUAAAGAUCCUUUGUCCAGAGUUUGUAUUCUGAAUUCAGAACCCAGAUUUCAGACCGAACCUUCCCAACAUGAAGCGAUUCAAUGCACAUGGAAAGUAUGCAAGACUUGAUAGAGAAAAUAUCUAUUUACUAUGCAAUUUUAGAAAACUGAGGUAAUUGAUACCAGUGAAAUUAAUCAAAAUCCUACACAAAAAUCUUAAGAGGGGAAAAAAGAUAGAAAACAAAUCCAGUGAGGAUAAUUUUUUUUAACUAAACAGCUGAAGAAGUCAUACAAAACGUUAAAAAAACUCAACCUGAUAACCAGAAAUAAAAUUGUCCAUUAAGGAUACAGGAAGACCAAAGAAUUAGAAGGACAUUUGCAUCAGUGUGUAUGCAAAACCUGAAGCUUUUGCAACUAACAAAUAAUCACAAAUAGCGCUAAAUACGGAUUGUGAAUUGUACAUUUUUAACCUCUCACCUUUUAAGCCUUGAAUUGUCAAAUCUGAAAGGCUGCUGAUGUAAGCCACAAUGAUUUGGUCAUUUUUCCUUUCUCACCUUUUAAGCCUUGAAUUGUCAAAUUUGAAAGCUUGCGGAUGUAAGGCACAUUCCAGAAUUCGGAAUCCAGAAUUCGAAUUUCUAAUCCACAAUUUUUUAUGUGUAAUUCUAACAUGUGAGAAGCUAGAGAAAUGAAUCCUAGAAUACUGCUGUGAGAAUUCAGCAUCCUGAAUUCGCACCUUGCGUAUAGGGCAAAAAACUUGGUGCGAUUCAAACAACAUAUCCAGGCUUGGUACUGAGCAUUCAAUUAGAUAGGGGAGAAUUCAGAUAGAAAAUUUAGAAUUCAAGUAGACAAUUAAGAAUUCCAUCAAGAAUAUAGGGACGACAAAUAUGCAUUGCGCAGAUUCUCCUAGUUAUCAAAUAUUGUAACUUUGGAAUCAAAGCCUGCUUGGUUCCUAAUGUUAACCGGCAAAAAAACCGCAUUCAUACUGAAAGCAUUCUGAGCACAAAUUAAAGUGCCUGGUUGCCUAUAGAAUAGGCCAUCAUACCAUCAUUGCUUUCCAAAAAGGUAGGGACUUUAAAUCUCAUGAAGAAUAUAAGGGAAACAAACAUACAUUAUGUACAAUCCAUUUUCAGCAUUCAGGGUAACCGACUGUAGUAUUCAAGGUAACUGACUGUAGAACCUAGCAUGGAAACCAAUACGCACUAUUGCUCAUAAAAGGUUGCUGAUUCAGGAACCAUAAUUCAUUCAGCUAGAUAAGCAGGAAUUCAGCUAGAAACCUGGGAAUUCCAUGAAGAAUAUAGGGAAAUUAACUACACUGGUCCAGCUGAAAUCUAGAUUACCUACUUGAAUUCUGGAACUGGAAUUCAGGAUUUAGAAUUCUGUUUUGUAUUCAGAGGUCUCAAAUGCAUCCUUAGUUUAAAUUGUGGCACGUACUUUUCAUUAUACCUACCUUUCCUUGGGUGUUAUUGGGAUAUACCAUGUAUCUUCAGUCUAAAAUAUACCAUGUACUCUAAAGGGUUAAUUUACUUCUCAAGAUAAAAAGUAAGCAGCUGAACAAAAACAUGUGAACUAAAAAAUAGUUCAAAACAGGCAGUAUAGAUGUUGUCUCUACUUCUAUGUGUAAGUUAUUGUCCUCAGACUACUCCCCAUCAUCCAACAUCAUCAGAUUGGCGCCGCACACUGCACACUCAGUAUUGGGGAUUUACCUACAAUCGGCAUGUACACCGAAAGUAUUUACAGCCUAAAUAAGGGGGACUGGUUGCCUAGAGCAAAAGGCCAUCCAAAGUCCGCCCUUUACCGGUGAAGAAACAGAUUAGUUGGUACAUUAUGAAUCUAGCCGCACAAAACACCUCCCAGACCAGUGUGCAUCACGAAUAAUUCAUAUCUAAGGGGGAGGUCAUCAUAGCAUAGGACAAAAAGGAGUAAAGAGAAACCAAGGAAAAUAUAAGGCCUGCGCACACUGCACACUCAGUAUUGGGGAUUUACCUACAAUCGGCAUGUACACCGAAAGUAUUUACAGCCCAAAUAAGGGGAACUGGUUGCCUAGAGCAAAAGGCCAUCCAAAGUCCGCCCUUUGCCGGUGAAGAAACAGAUUAGUUGGUACAUUAUGAAGCUAGCCGCAGAAAACACCUCCCAGACCAGUGUGCAUCACGAAUAAUUCAUAUGUAAGGGGGAGGUCAUCAUAGCAUAGGACAAAAAGGAGUAAAGAGAAACCAAGGAAAAUAUAAGGCCUGCACUAAAUGCGAGAGGAUGGGCAAUAAAAACCACAGAUUAGACAACACUUCCAAGUAAACUAUUUUAAAACGUGAGCAAGUAAGCAGAUAAAUUAUCAGGAAAUUCAUCGAGAAGAGAAUAAAUUAUCAGAGAAUUCGUCCAAGGGAAAAGGGGGCAAAAUCAGCAUGUAAACCAUAAAUAAAUAAAAAAAUAAAUAAUAAAUAAGUCAAAUAAAAAGGGAACCCAAUCAACAGUAGACAGCAGAACCAAAGUAGAUAACAGAUAACAUAGAGAGAGAGAGGGAAAUGCAUGGAAAUUGUAUAUAUAAACAUAGAGAGAGAGGGAAAAGCAUGAAAAUUGCAUGCCCUAGCUGCUCCCUACCCGGCAAGCUUUUAACCCAGUUUUUAUGUAUUUCUGUGUUGUUCUUGCUUUUCUAGCGAUCCGAGUUUGGCCCAAUGGCUCUGGAGGUGAGCACAGCGAUCGCUGGUCAGUGUUGAUCAUAGUGCUCACCUCAUUUAGGAUCAGCGCAUUCCGAAUCAUCUUUUUCGACACGAUUUACCUCGAGUGCGGACAGUUUGCUAAUUUUCGGGUCGCUCUCAUACCUCCCACAACGAACCAUUGUGCUCCGAAUUAUGAGCACGACCUCCCGUAUAUCGAGCACGCGUCUCAGUUGACUCCGAAAACCCUUAGGUUGCGUGGUUUUAGUAUUAGCUUAAAAGGAUUUUCAUGUUCCAAAGGCUGUCAUACAGGGAGUUGAGAAAAGUAUUCAGCGAAAUCUGUAGACCCUUGACAAAAACAAAGUUUGUGGAAAUGCGAGUUGAAAACCAUCUCAAAAGUAUCAAGCAGCCAAUUGUGGAGUUCAAGGCGAAGUUCUCUUCCCUGGGUUAUUUGAUCGAUCCCAAAAGUGAUUCGGUUAUUGCUAAAGUUCUCCGACAGCUUCCGCCUACAACUUUUUCACAAAGAAAAGUUUUAUUCAAGUCAAUUGGUUGAGGACUGUUUCCCAACAUUUUUCAAUAGGUUUUCUACUGGUGGAGAUAAGCAUCCUUGUGGUAAAAUAACAACCAGAUUCAGAGAUCGCAACAUGUAUAGGAAUCCCCACAAUUCAGCUGCUCCAAAAGUAAAACAGCAAUGAAACCCUGCCAAUCCGAUCGACAAUUAGUACUUGCAAUUGAGUUGAGCCGAUCCCACCAAGGACUGACCAGAUAUUAAGAACAAACUGCACGACAGGGUAUAUGGCAAGUAUAAAUUCUGAUAUUACGAACAAACUACGGCAACUUUUUGUACGAUACUUGCAAAUGAAGCACAAAACUAAGAGAUUUCCUUUAGUUAAGUUAAGCACAGAAUAAACAAAUAUAAUGAAACAUCAAGGUAUUAUUACAGAAAUGCAAAGAAAGCAUCGCCAACUAAUUUUGGUCAUAGUUAUUGGAAAUCUGAACAAAAUUUCCUCCUCAAUAUACUUCCGAAGCAUGAGUGUGACUAUUAAACAUGAAAUGAGUGCAAAACCGUAUUUACAUACACCCACAUUAUUUACCUUGCACAAUUCCUAACAUGAAUCAAACACAGUAAACCAACAAAAAAGCAAAAGAACUAUGGUACUCAUGAUGCACAACCGAAGAAUACGAAUAAGAAAGCAAAAGAUGCAGGCUGGUCUGGAGAAUACUUGCAAAUUAAGCAUAAAGAGCAGCAGCAAAGAGAAAUGGAUAAUUAGUGAUUCCAAAAGAUUUUGAAAAAGUCGGCUGAGCUCAGAUAGUUAGAACAUCUUCAUUCUUUUCAUCACACACUCAAUAGGUUUUUUUUCCUUUUAGCUAACAACCGUCGCAAGUUUUGCUCUAAGGCUAUCAAGCCUGUGUUUUUAAAAAUUCCGUAUCGUCAUAUAUGUGAUGCACAUUUUUUAGCCAACAAUCGUUGCAAGUGUUGCCCGAAGGCCAUCAAGCUUGCCCAUUUUUUAAUUCCGUAUCACCAUAGGCCUGCACUUUCUUUAAUUCCGUAUAACAAUUGCCAAACAAACAAUUUUGCAUCAUCACAUAUCACAUAUUGGAUAUAAUUUUUUUAACCAACAAUUGGCUCAAGUGUUGGCCCAAACCCAUCAAGCUUAACCUUUUGUCAAUUCUGUAUCAUCAUUGCUCAGCAAAUCAUUUGAGGUCACAAAGAAUCCACUUCUUUUUAUGCAGCUACUUUCACAAUAUUUUAAUUAACAUUCGCUGAACUUGAGUGUUUAUUGAGUUUUGCUAAUAAGGCGAACUAAUAUAUCUGAAGUUCAGCAACCAAAACAAACAUAACUAAGGCAGCAAGAUUUCACAUCAUUAUUUUGCACUUCCGCUCAAGUAAGGUUCCCGACUUUCGCCUUCACUUAAGAAUAAUUUCUCAAAAGGAAAAAGAGAAAACACAUGUCAACAAUUUAGGGAAAAGAGAAAACACAUGUCGACAAUUUUUCAAAAGGAAAAAGAGAAAACACAUGUCAACUAAUUUAUCUUAGUUUUUAAUAUUAGGAGGACAACAAAAUAUAUAUAUUUCCCUCAUCCUAACCUUUUUUUUUUCUCAUGAAAAAAACUGCUGCAGUUCAAAUCAUAAGCCAAAUUUAGAACCAAUCUACACAGAACAAAUAAGUAACAUUUUAUGCCCAUCAAAUACCUUCAUUUAAUUCAGAUCAGUAUCCUCCUAUAAUUCAUCUAGGCAACCACAGCUGAGUAAUGUAGAAUUCAGUUAGGGAAAUUCAGAAAUCAGCUCCCAUCAAAUACCUUAAUGCAAUUCAGAUCAUCAUUCCCCGUUAAUUCAUCCAGCCCUGUAGGUUAAUUCAUCCAGCCCUGUAGAAUUUUGUUAGGGAUUUCAAUGUUCAGCCGCCCUAUUAAGGAUUCCAUGACACCCGUAGUGCUGUCAUGGCCAAUUAAUUAUCGGAAUCAUCAAUAUUAACUAUGCGGAAAUAAGCUGAUGUUAAAGUAAAGCAGCGGGCUCAUGGUCUACCCCAGGAAAAGAUCUGUCCGAAUUCUAUUUGCACAUAUAGGACAAAAUGGUCUCAGUACCAUUUUUCUUAUGACUUCUUUUUUUUUUAGUUAAUUUUCUGAAUUCUAUUUGCACAUAUAGGACAAAUGGUCUCAGCACCAUUUUUGUUAUGACUUCUUUUUUUUUUUAGUUAAUUUGAUGCGCACGGAAAAACGAUGGGAAAAAAUAUAAAGCAGAAUUCUAUUAGGCAAUUAUGAAUUCAGCUGGUUAUUCCAGGACCCCACGAAAGAUCCAGCACCUAGGCAAAAAAUAAAAAAAGUCUGAGUCAGGGCACAAAUGAGAACCACUGGUUGCCUGCUGAGCAGGCCGUCCGUAGUGCUCCCACGGCCAAAUAAUUACGAAAACCAUCAAUAUCAAUGUUUCGAGUGAAUCAUGACAGAAAUGUAUUCAUGUGGGAUUUGAAAUAUUUGAGAAGGUAAUCAUUAGAAGGCCAAGGUAAAGUUAAUUAUAUUUGCAAAAUAUGCGAAACAUUAUAUGGCUUUUUCACGGGCUAAUUGUAUAGCGCUUAGGCCACGGGUUAAUUGUAUAGCGCUUAUGCCGUAUGCUUAUACAACAAAAGACUUUUAUUGUUUGCACGACUAUUCCUGAUGUUUAGACUCUUUUUAUUUGCUGCUUGUAUGAGUUUUUAGAUUCUUAUAUGAGCGCAAAUUCAAAUUUCCUUUUUUUAGGGAUUUUAAGCGGAUGAGGCAAAAGGUGCUAUGGCAUCUGGAGGCAGGCCGGAAGAGGUUUGUACCCUCAGAAGGAUAUCUUAAGGGAAUGACUUCAGUAACGAUGACGAUGAUAAAGAAAUUCCACUCCUUGGGGCAGAAAAUCAAGCAGUUCUUCUAUACUGCCUCGGUUGAACCAUGUUUAAGUUCACAUUUUUUUGCCGAACAGAUUAUUUCCAACCUCAAAAAAAAUCAUUUAACUUUUAAAGAGCAUGACAUAUUUUAAGGUUAAAAUAUACAUGGUAGACCCCAAGAACACUGAAGGACAUGUAAGUAUAGCAUAAAGCACAUGACACAAUUUGAACUAAGGAUGUAUUUGAUAUUUUACAAUACUAAAGGACAUAAAGCCGAACCAAGAAGAAAGAGGUGUUCAAAGUACAUGUGGUAUUUGGCGAAGGGAAGCAAGCACAAAAUAUACUAAACUAUAAGAAGCAGUCCAGUAGUACAAAAAGGAGCUGGUAAACCAGCGUAGCAUUCAACGGUAAACUGAAGGCAAACAGCAGAAGUAGCCGGAUGAGAGUUUGGAGGAGAGCAGCAAGCAGCAGAGCAGGUGGAUGAGAGCUUGGAGUAGAGUAGGAACCCCAAGGGAAAAGUGCAGGAUUAAGAAGCAGAUCCUGCUUCAGAAUGGCCAGAAGUCGUGGCAGGUUUUUCCGCACGCAGCUGCCCAAUGGCCAAUUGGCAUUCAUCGAUUGUACAUUGCAUUUUUACUUUUUCGUCUAUAUAUUGCACCCUUUCGGCGACGGCGGAAGCGUAACAAUCUUUUAGGAGAUUAUACUCCCGCUGUAGAUUUUCAAACUUACCAAGCAAAUCUGUAUGCUGGGCCGUCACAUGAUCAUAUAAACUCUUAUACAACAUGAAAUCGUCAUAAUUUGUAUCAAUUAUAUGCAAGUGAAGCUCACUCUUAAUUCUGUUAAUAGCAGCACGGGCUGCAUCGUCCUUUGCCAGAAUUAAAUCAGCGGACGGAGAACCCCAGCAACGUGCAUUCUCAAUGACUGUUGCACUCCGUGCAAUUGCGGCAUCUACGUAUCCUAAAUACCAACCCUCCGCAAUGACAGUUAUAAUGCACUCAGGAGGCGCAACACCCAGCUUCUCAGUUAUUUCCCCAAGCAACUUACUGUAUGAGAGCUGAAUCAUUGACAUUUCGGUUACCGAAGAUGAGGCAACAUUGUAGGGGCAAAGGGAUCAAAGAAUGAGAAAUUAUGAACGUAAAAGAUGUCCUAGCAUUUUUAUAGCAAAUUCUAAAAAGACUCCCCUCCCCUUGUUUUGCUAAAAAAUUCGCCAUCUCCGAAGGUAAGAAAACUGGGGCGCCCUAGCAUUUCAAGCAACAGAGAUAUUGGCCAGUUUCUCCACUUAAAUUCCACUAAUAGUUACAACCAAUUAUAGCAAAUGAGAAAAUUGGUAAGGAAAUCAAAUUUCGUAUUAAGCGAGAUCAAUCCCCUUUCUGCUGUACAGCAGGCGUUAAACUACGGAGUGCAACAAAGUCAAAUAGGCGAUUUCGAACUUAAGACGUGCCAUGUGUAUGAUGCAUCUUUCCUGGAAACUUUAAAAAGACUUCCUGUAACAAAGUUUCUCGAAGGAAUUAAGCACGGAAGUGUGAAAGCAAACCUUCUAAAAUACGUGGAACGACGGCACAGCCUACGAAGCACAGGAGGAGGACCUACCAGAAAAGGGAAAACCCAGCGUUCAGUUCGCACCUAUCCAUAAAAGAAUGUAAGAACUUACACGCCCUGUACGGAGUCCGGCACAAACCUCGUAAAUAGAAAGAACCCGAGCAAACCUCGCAACCCCCAAAUAACAGAAGAAUAAGCUAACAUGAGUAAGGAUCGAAGGAAGAUGAGCUAAUUCGUUCGGAUCUACCGAAGGCAAAAGCAAGGCGAGCGAGUUGAGCCAUCGCCGCAUACACACACACAUAUUUAUAGGCAACCGCUGCAACUUCGGAAAGAGAAGCAAACAGUUAUGAGGGGAGCGGGGUAGGCUGGCUUCAUAGCCAUCCUGUACCACCACGGGGAGAGAGGAGGAACUAACCCACGCCCGCCGGCGCCGGGGAAGGCGGUGAGGAAUAGAGCAGGAAGGGGCAGGAUGGCGACCACAAACAGAGAGGGGGGUGGGGGUACGGAGCACACCAACAUACCUGCGCAAUGAUGCCAAACCGUCAAUUCCAUCGGUACGAACCAACCCACAUCCGCCGGCAAAGGGGGGCUCGGUGUACGAACAGCCUAGGAUAGCACGAACGGAUGCUGCGGCAAAUCUCCGAACCCUACGGGGUGUGCCGAGCCAGAGGGGACAACAAUGGGUGUUGAGAGAGAGGAAAUCGGGGCAGCUGUCGGGAGAGAAGAAGGAUCGAAGGAGCUCGACGGGAGACGGUAGAGAGGGGGGCGCUGAGGAGCAGCCACGUAGGCCACAGGAAUACUCUCGAUUCAAGAGUUAUAUAGAUAUUCCUAAUUAAUUAAUUAAUUAACAUGUAAAAAUAUUAUUUUAUAUUUUUAUUAGUAAUUAACAUGCCGCUCCAUCAUAUUAUAUAAUAUUCCUUGUUAAUCAAUUAAUUAACUUGUUAAAAUAUUACUUUAUUAAUAAUUAACAUGUUUAAGAAAUUAAUUUAUUAUUUUAAUUAAUUUUUGAAUUAAAUAGUUAAUUUUUUUAAUGUACUUAUUCAAUAAUCAAUAUUUAUAUUGAUUAAUUAAUUAAUAUUUUGACUAACUUAAAUAUCUAAUUGUUAUUAACUAAUUUAUUUAUUAAUUUAUUAAUUACUUCUGAUUAAUUAAAUUAUUAAUUAGUAAUUAAUAAUUUAAUUAAUAUUAGGGUUAUUUAGCAAUAUUCAUGAUUAAUUAGUAAAUUAAAUAAGUUUAAUUAUUAUUUAAUUAAUAUUUUGUAUUAAUUAAUUAGAUAAAAUAUUAUUAUGUUAAAACUAUAAUUAUGUUUAUCCCUACUAAUCCAAUCUAACUUUAGAGUGAGGCUACUAUGCUAUCGGAAGCACGGAGCCUUCCGUGCUUCCAGCUCGUUUUCAAUAUUGCGACUUUCGAAUCGUCGAUCGGCUCCGUUAAACUUGAUCUAGAGUAUUUGGAGUACCUAGAAAAUAAAUUUUAUUAUUUUUCGAUAUCAUUUGCCUAGAGAUCGAAUGGGCUCAAAAUCAACAAAUUUCAAUGGCCGUAGUGAGCCGUUUGCAAGUUUAACGGUGUAGAAAUAUCCAAAUCAUGUGAAAUUUUGAUAGAAAAUUCUUUAUACUAUAUAAAACAAUAUCAAUAUCUUUGAUUUAAAAUUUUAAUGUCAUAUUAUUAUAUUUUGUAAGAUUUUUAUUUUCAGCCGUUGAUUUUGAGCCCCUUCGUUCACUAGGCAAAUGAUAUCGUAAAAUCAUAAAAUUUAUUUUCUAGGUACUUCAAAUACUCUAGGUCAAGUUUGACGGAGCCGAUCGACGAUUCGAAAGUCGCAACAUCGAAAACGAGCUGGAAGCACGGAAGGCUCCGUGCUUCCGAUAGCAUAGUAGCCUCACUCCUAACUUUAUUCCCAAGAAAAAUCCAGUUUUCAUCCAAACGCAAAAUUGAUUUUAUUCAUCCUUAUCCUAAGAGUUGUACUUAUCCCUGGAAUAGUCUAAAAUAACUUAUUAUCAAACCAAACGGUAUCUAAUGGAAUAAAUUACAGUCGUAUAAUUUUUAUUUUAUUUUAUUGGAUCUAAUACAAUGGCUGACGAAAAAUUCCCUCAAAUAGUGCGUAUUAAAUUUUACUUUUUAUAUGAUCUCCUAAUAACCGCCGCCCACAUAAUAUCAUAUUUUAUCACAAAUAAUAUUCACAAUCUAUCCAUUUCUUAAAUAUUUUCUUUCUUACAUGUAAUAUUCGCCACCUAUAUAAAUACCUUCCGCAUAUAUAAUAUUUAAUCAUAUUUUUUUAAAGUUGAAUAUAUAUAAAUUAUCUCAAUUUUAUCAACUAAUAUUUAAAAUAUGAGAUAUUUUCCAAUAAAAUAUAACAUAU
rnacentral:lncRNA from 1 species